UGUGGGUUUUCCUUUACGUUACUUCCUACCAAAUGGAAAUGUACACCCUCAGUCUCAGUCGCCCUUCACUACUUUCCUCGCCAACAACAACGAGAAAAGUUGGCUCAGUUUAAAUAAGAAAGUCGAACGAGGGAUUAAAGAGAGAAAAAAGGUGAGACGACCCGACGACGAUCCCGUGAUCCUGACGACAUCAUCAUCUCCGCAUCAGUUUGAGAUUGGAGAAAGUCUGGCCGACUGAAGAUUAAUGUUUUCGCCGGAUCGUAUACUGAAUGUAUCCUGAGUGCUUUAUAAUAUCUCAGGUAUACCUUCAAUAUACGUUACAGGCGAGGACAGUUUCAGCAGUUUGACACGUUGACGAAGGUCCCAACGAGAAAUGAGGAUGUCCAAAUCUGCCGGAAAUUGACAAAUAAAACAAUUAAUUUUAAAUAAAAUAUUGAAUUAAAUUCUUAAGAAUGAGUUAGCCGAAGCUUAAUAUGGUGUUGUCCCAGCUUCACAAACGUUAAGAAGAAUACAGCAAUUAAAGAAUUAGUCGGAAUGAGUCAAUCAAUUAUAAUGUUGCUAAAUAUUUUUAAAGUAUCGCGUCAGGCGGAAUGUUUAUUUAAACAUUUUUAACUAACUGAGUCACUGGGGUUUAUUUAUCAUGACAAUUCCAUUCAUUUGCUGCGUGCUGACUUAACCAUUACAUAUGUAUUAAUCUAAUGACCUAUUGUUUUAACGGAUGGUGAUGAUUAUGAUAUGUUACGUAUGCAUGUAUAUAACUAUGUCUCAUGUAAUGUAAAAAGUUCUCCAUUUUUUUUUCGUCUCAACAAUAAAACGUUCAACAUUCCAGAAAAAAUAAAAAUAAAAUGAUUAUAUUAAA